rnacentral:rRNA from 1 species
GACUUCUGGUUUCAUGUGCCUGGCCCGCGAUCUGGAUCAUUUACUUUGAAAAAAUUAGAGUGUUUAAAGCAGGCUUAUGCCAUGAAUACAUUAGCAUGGAAUAAUAAUCUAGGACUUCGGCUAUUUUGUUGGUUUCUAUAACUGAAGUAAUGAUUGAUAGGGACAGUUGGGAGUGCUAGUAUUGGCCGGUCAGAGGUGAAAUUCUUGGAUUCGGUCAAGACUAACUUAUGCGAAAGCAUUCACCAAGGAUGU